AUCUUUCUCACUUGAUCCGUUACAGAUCGCACUGUGAGACGAAAAUCUGUUUAUUUUUCUCGGUCACCACUGUAACUCUACGAAAACACCAAAAUGAGGGAAUGUAUCAGUAUUCACGUCGGCCAGGCCGGAGUCCAGAUGGGCAAUGCCUGCUGGGAGUUGUACUGUCUGGAACAUGGAAUCCAGCCGGACGGUCAGAUGCCCAGUGACAAGACCAUUGGAGGAGGGGACGACUCUUUCAACACCUUCUUCAGUGAGACUGGGGCAGGCAAACACGUCCCCAGGGCUGUAUUUGUUGACUUAGAGCCAACAGUUGUAGAUGAGGUGCGAACUGGCACCUACCGCCAACUCUUCCAUCCAGAACAGUUGAUCACGGGGAAGGAAGAUGCAGCCAACAACUAUGCCCGUGGACACUACACCAUCGGGAAGGAGAUCGUGGACUUGGUCCUGGACAGAAUCCGUAAGCUGGCUGACCAGUGCACAGGACUUCAGGGAUUCCUCAUCUUCCACAGUUUUGGUGGAGGAACUGGAUCCGGAUUCACAUCUCUGCUCAUGGAACGUCUCAGCGUGGACUAUGGCAAGAAAUCCAAACUAGAGUUCUCCAUCUACCCUGCUCCUCAAGUUUCCACCGCUGUAGUAGAGCCCUACAACUCCAUUCUGACCACCCACAUAUGCCCCUGUCAUCUCUGCAGAAAAAGCCUACCAUGAACAACUGUCUGUGGGUGAGAUCACAAAUUCCUGCUUUGAACCAGCCAAUCAAAUGGUGAAGUGUGACCCUCGUCAUGGCAAGUACAUGGCUUGCUGCAUGUUAUACAGAGGAGACGUUGUUCCCAAGGACGUCAAUGCUGCCAUUGCCACCAUCAAGACCAAGCGUACCAUCCAGUUUGUGGACUGGUGUCCCACUGGAUUCAAGGUUGGCAUCAACUACCAGCCACCCACCGUGGUUCCUGGUGGUGACUUGGCCAAGGUUCAGCGUGCCGUGUGCAUGUUGAGCAACACCACCGCCAUCGCCGAGGCCUGGGCUCGUCUGGAUCACAAGUUUGACCUGAUGUACGCCAAGCGAGCCUUCGUCCACUGGUACGUGGGAGAGGGUAUGGAGGAAGGUGAAUUCUCCGAGGCCCGUGAAGAUCUGGCUGCCCUGGAAAAGGACUACGAGGAAGUGGGUGUCGACUCCGUGGAGGCAGGAGAAGAUGAAGAGGGAGAAGAAUACUAAAUGUGUUCCAACCUUUUUGAUAUUAUUAUAUGAACCAUAAUUCAGGGAUUCUCUAUUUUUCCAUCAUGUUGAAAUUAAAUUAAACCCUGUUACAAGAAU
rnacentral:misc_RNA from 1 species